GUGUUUGUCCAGUGUGUGUGUGUGUGUGUUUGUCCAGUGUGUGUGUGUGUGUGUGUGUUUGUCCAGUGUGUGUGUGUGUGUGUGUUUGUCCAGUGUGUGUGUGUGUGUGUGUGUCCAGUGUGUGUGUGUGUGUGUGUGUGUGUCCAGUGUGUGUGUGUGUGUCCAGUGUGUGUGUGUGUGUCCAGUGUGUGUGUGUGUGUCCAGGUGUGUGUGUGUGUGUCCAGUGUGUGUGUGUGUGUGUCAGUGUGUGUGUGUGUCCAGUGUGUGUGUGUGUGAGUCCAGUGUGUGUGUGUGUGUGUUUGUCUAGUGUGUGUGUCCAGUGUGUGUGUGUCUGUGUGUAUCCAGUGUUUGUGUGUGUGUGUUGUGUGUGUGUGUGUGUGUUUGUCUAGUGUGUGUGUCCAGUGUGUGUGUGUCUGUGUGUAUCCAGUGUUUGUGUGUGUGUGUGUCCAGUGUGUGUGUUUGUCCACUUUGUUUGUCCAGUGUGUGUGUGUGUGUGUGUCCAGUGUGUGUGUGUGUGUGUGUGUGUGUAUUUUUGUUUGACAGUGUGUGUGUGUGUGUGUGUGUGUGUGUGUGUGUGUGUGUGUGUGUGUCCA
rnacentral:lncRNA from 1 species